AUGGAAGAAGAACCUCCAAUAUUUGCUGAAGAGGAUGCUGGUACUAGUAAGAAGAAGAAGAAGCGCAAACGUGAGACAAUAAAGCAGACUGAAUGCAAGGCGAAAAUGUUGGUGAAGCUGAUAGAUGGGCGAUGGGAGGUGACGCACUUUGUUCGUGACCACAAUCAUCCGCUCGUGAACAAACCUUCAUUGUCCAAAUACUUGAGAUCCCACCAAGGCAUCUCACCUGAUGAAAAGGAGUUUCUGCGCAUCUUGUAUAACUGCAACUUGACUACAGGACGAAUGAUGCAUGUAAUGGCAGAGUUCUAUGGAUCUGAGAUGAUGGUGCCGUUCGGACCAAAGGCAAUAACAAAUCUUUGUACAAGUUUUCGUAGAGAUGACACAAAGGAGGGUGAUCUGAUUGAGACAAUUGCGCACUUCAAGGAUAUACAAAAAACCGAUCCAGACUUCUUCUAUAAGGUGAUCGUGACGGUCCUACUGCCCCGUUGGAGGCUGCAUCCCUUGCACAAGCUUCUGAUGAUUUUGUGCCCAGGGAUCCUCCAAGGUCUACUACAAAGGGUAGGGCAAAGAGUCGACGGUACAAAUCGGUGCUGGAGCUACACCCAAAGAAGAAAAACAAAUGCAGCCAGUGCCAAUCUAUAG
rnacentral:rRNA from 1 species